GGCAGAGACAGAUGGUGGAACAGAAGGAAAUAAUGAGACUUCUAUAGUAGAUAUAAGAAAUGUAAUUAGGCUGAUCAUUUGCCCAUGCAUGGUAAAGUUUACUAUGAAUGAAACACUGCAGUGAGUUUUCAUCGAGCUUCUGUAUAGCAGCCCUUUUCUCUCUCCUACUCUAACAAGUGUAAUCCUGCAACACAAAAUUGUGCAAUUCAUGAGUAAUUCAUUGCUCAGUUUCUUAUUCAUCUACGUUUUGCGUAAGGGUCUCGUGGAAAUUAGCCAUCUUCUGAGUCCUUUCACAGCAGAGAGAAAGCGAGUGAGUCACACCCUGGAACGUAAGGGUUCUUACACUGUAAGAUGAUGUGCUAAGAACUGAAGACCGCACAAUUUGGGGGGAUGAAGGCAGAGAUGUGAUUGAAAAAGCAUACUAAUAUAAUGUACAUGUGUGAGAAAGAGCUAAUACUGAAGUGAACAAGUGCAACAGAACUAAGGUUUAUAUUGAAAAGAUAUGGAUUUGAAGAGUGGUUUCAGUGGAUGAGGAAUUGGUUGGAUUAUUUCAGAGGAUUAUGGUCAAAGGCGGAGGCUGGUGGAAAUACAUUUCAAAAAGUUCUGACUUUUUAGUAAAAUUUAUCAAGGAAACCAACCAGCAAAGUCAGGUGCUGAAGGAUUUGGGGAGAAAUAGGAGUGCUGUGCUUUGCCAGAAAGGUCGCAUGCGAUCAGCCUCAGCAUACACUAGAGAGAAGCUCCCCAUGAAGAUCUGCAGAACUUGAAGAGUGAGAACAGGACCCUGCAGUUAUAGAGAGAAGGGCCUCACAGCAAGAAAAGGGAAAGUAGCUUCACAAAGUAGAAAUAAGGGGCAAAUAGAGAUAGUUUAGGUAGAGAGUGUUAGAAAACAAGGGAUUCCAAGCACUUUCACAGACACUAGGUCUGGAAUAACAAGAAGGAUGAAGGCCAUAAAGAUAAGUACUGGAGAGCAGCUCAAAAACAUUUGGCAGGGAGGUGAUUAGAUGUCUACAGGGCAAGCUGAAACCAGUUUGGGGGAUGCCCCCCCCUUCAGGGUCAGAAGUUUGCAGUGAGGAAGACUAUGAGCCUUCGCGAGGAAGACUAUGAGCCUUCAUCAUCACGACCUACUACACAUGCGCAAGGGGGGGAGGGACUGCAUGCUACUGGGCUCUCAGGAAUGUAAUGAACAUGUAUCCAAAUUCCUGUCAACUAUUGAUUAUGUAUUAGUUCGACCUAUAUCUAUAGCACGAUUUCUCCUGACGGUGUGCAAGUUAGGUGGAACGAUCCCCUUUGCACCAGGGUGUACACGCGUCACCAAUAAACACAUACCUGCUCUAUAUCCUCACUGGCUAUAGGGUCUGAUUUCUGCACAUCAAACUACCUCUUUCUUUUUCCACACACAAACCUGCGAAACUUACCUCUGAAGUGCCAAAACUUGUUUCCACUUCCAAACAGACCUCCCUCUGACAUGGGCAGACUGAUACCACCUCUUUUCAUUUUGUCCCUGCAUAUAUCCCUACCCAUUUCAUGUCUCUCUUUACUACUCUGUGCACCAGUGGUGUGAGACAGAGAUUUUUUUGUUCUGUAACUAUAUACUUUGCAGCAUCAAGGAAUCUCGGUCUUGAGUAUGCCUCCAAAGUGUUGCUGUGGUAGAAAUAAUUAUGCAGUGGAAAAAUAGAACUGGAUGAUCUUAUAGCUUUUUCUUUGCCUCAGGCCACGAAGACAAACUGGAAAGAACUAUUCAUUAUUUCUGCUGAGUUAUAUAAUUGCCAAGUCCUUUGCAGAAGGUUGAUAAUCAUGAUAAUUCUCAUUUUAUAUUGGGCAUAGACCAGAAUGUUGUGCUGUGGUUUGGCUGGUUUUGUUCCUUCUAUAUUAAUAAUAAACUAUGUGUGACGAAAACAAAACACCUUCUACUGCACUUUUGAAGAUAGCAAUCUAGUCAUUUCAUUGCUACCUUAAGUUUUACUCUUGACAUACAGAAAAUAUAUCAGUAACCAAAUUUCAUUAGUAGUUUCCCGAAUUCUGAGGAAAGUGCUUUGAAAAGCUUUCCCUGUGAGACUUUAUUGCUAGCAAAAUUAAAAGAUUUUCUUGGUAAAUAUGAAGAAGAUGACUUUCAAAAUUCGGAGUAAAUCCUUCAAGUUUUAAAAAAACAUUACUUUUAUUUUAAAAUACUUUAGAGAUGAAUCUAUAGAAAUAUCUUUGAAACCACAUUAAUUCCAGUAUAAAUUUCAUGUAGCAGUAAUACAGAGCAGACACACCACUCAUUACUUUAAAUCAUUUGCAUUCUGUACAUGCAAAAGCAAAUAAUCCACUUUAUAAUAUGUGACAAAAUCUCAGUUGAUAAGCAAAUGAAAAUGGAAAAUUAUUGAAGUCAAAGGGAAAAAAGAAAAUCCUGAAUUGAACUAACAAAACAAAACAAACAAGAACAACAACAAAACAAAACAAAACAACCACACCUACAGUUUUCCAGGACAAGCAAGAUUUACCAGCUGCCAAACUGUAACACUGGGCAAAAUCCAUGGAUGAGGUUUGCUUUCCUUCCUUCCCCGUAUUUUUUUUUUUUUAACAUCUUUUUUUCAGUAAGAAACAUAAAUCACAGAAUCAAAGAACGGCCCAAGCUGGAAAGUCCACCCAUUGGCUCCACACAGGACCACCCAAAAAUCAGACCAUAUGUCUGAGAGCAUUGUCCAAAUGCUCCUUAACUCUAGCAGUUUGGUACCAUGACCACAGCCCUGGGAAGUAUGUUCCAGUGCCUGACCACCCCCUGGCAAAGAACCUUUUCCUGACAUCCAGCCUCACCCUCCCCAUUGCAGCUCUAUGCCCUUCCCUUGCUCCCUGCCUCUUAUCAAAGAGCAGAGCUCAGUGCUGUCUCUCCGCUCCCUGUGAGAGCUGCAGCCUCCAUGAGGCGUUCCCUCACCUCCUCAGUUCCAAACUGAACAAACCAAUGGACCACACCUGCUCCUCGUUCAGGUUGUCCUCUAGACCCUUCAUCAUCUUUGUAGCUCUAAAUAAAUGAAUAAAAGCUCUUCAAGGGUCAGCCUAUUCUAAGCGAGGAAAAAGUGAAAAAACAAUCAACCAAAUACAUUUUUUUUAAAUUAAUAGAUAUUUCAGUACAGUGUAGGAUACUUAUGGCCUUGCUACCCAUGUCUGUUUCAGUGAGGAACUGGUUAAAGAGUUUAACAUGAGCCACUUCAUUAUAUUGUCAUCUUUUUAAAAAGAUUUUAACCCAAAGGUUAAUUUAAGGACUGGAAUAUAGAAGCUUAUGGUUCCUAUUCAUUUACUCUUAAAGCUGAAAUUCCUGCAAUAUUGAACUUAUGAAUUUUAUUUAUUUGUUCUAAAAAACUCCAAUGCAUGCAAAAAAAUUGAAAGAACCAAUUCCCAUAUUUGGCAUAAAAUCUGGAACUCCAGCCAAGUGUAAGUAAGAGUUUUUCUGAAACUGAGCUUGAUUUCAAUCACAUGUGAGUGAACAGUGCUGUAAGAUGCUCUUACUUCAAGACUGUCCCCGAUUCAUAAGGAAAACAUUUGCAAUUUUAUGGAGAUAUCUCAUAAUUAUCUCUUCCCAAGCCUCAUCAACCCUAGAGGACAAAUCUGUCUCAGCCAAACUAGUACUAAAUGGAAGAUGUUCAUUUAGUCUAACUUAAUCUUUUUUUCCUCCCAAUGUUGGGCAGAAGGACUUCUGUUUCCAUAGUUACAAAGAUAUUUCCUUUGAACUUUUUCCAGGAAACUUUUAUGUCUUCCACAUGCACUGACACAUUACCUUAUGAGGUACGUAUACAUUUGGGAAACUCUUUCUCCUUCACCACCAAUUCCUUGCUGGAUGUAACAGAAGAAAUUUAGUCCAUUGUUAGAAUAAAGUUUGACUUGCUGAUUUAGGAAUUUUAAUAUUUAGUAAUGUAUUACUAUAAAUUGACUGCAAAGUACUACAAGUGAUAGUUUAAAGCACUUUUUUCCCCAAAGUUGUUAUUCAGCAAAGCUGAUUCCUUAUUAUUAGGUAUUUUGAUUCAGUAUAGUUG
ensembl:lncRNA